rnacentral:lncRNA from 1 species
ACGGCAUAGAGAUGGUUCCGAUCGGUGCUAGAGCCAGAAGAAGAAGUAGCACCUUUUAGGGUAGAAGUUGAUGCACAACAAAAAGAAUCUUAUUUUCCCCAGAAGCAACCCUAAAAGGACAAUCUCUCUACAUAUGACCAAUCUGACCAUAUUUAAAGAACUUGUUCCUCCCUUCUUCAUAAAUACCACGAUGCACCUGACCACA